rnacentral:rRNA from 1 species
UACGGGGGGGGGCAAGCGUUUGUUCGGAAUUACUGGGCGUAAAGGGCUCGUAGGCGGCCAACUAAGUCCGACGUGAAAUCCCAAGGCUUAACCUUGGAACUGCGUCGGAUACUGGAUGGCUUGAAUUCGGGAGAGGGAUGCAGAAUUCCAGGUGUAGCGGUGAAAUGCGUAGAUAUCUGGAGGAACACCGGUGGCGAAGGCGGCAUCUUGGACCAACACUGACGCUGAGUGAGCGAAAGCCAGGGGAGCAAACGGG